AGGAUUCUGUAUUCAAUAACAAAAUGUGCACGUAGGGUGCACAUUUUGAGCUUGUUCUACAUCAUAUCUUAAUCCUUAAUCCUAAUUCAUUGGCCCUAAUAGCCUGCGUAGCCGCACUCUCCUCUUAGUUCACACAGCACUGUCUUAAUAGCUGCUCUUUAUAAAACCACAGAAGAGCAAUCGCACAUCUGUUCAACGCGAAGAUUUUGAGAAACGCAAACGAACCGACAACACGAUGGGAGACGACAUGAGGACAAACGACAUACUGCACCUUCACUCGAACCCGCACGGUGGACCGACCUGAGGGGCGCGUCCCAGCAGGGCCCACAUUGUCUUGAGCCCAGAGAACUCCAGCGUGUCGGUCUCGCUGCGGUCCGGCGCGAUGUAGCAACAGCCCCGGAAGUCGCCCUUGAGCUGCACGCCGCCGCGAAGCCACAUGAAAUCCCACGUCGGCGAGCGCCUCAGGACCUUCUGCACCGACGCCAUCUGCCCGUACGAUAGAUGACCUGCAAAGGCAGGAGAGAGCCAGGAGGGAGUCAGCGCGUCCAACAUCCAGGCCACGUAGUCCUCCCUGAAGGAUCGCAGGAAGUGGUCUACCUGGUCGUGCGACACCAGCUCGCGCCGCACCCGGAGCCCCUCGGCGAGCUCGCAUUCCGGCGACGGGAAGACCGCCCGGGGGAAGAAGAGAGACUGAUGCACGGGCACGCCACUCCGCCUCAGAUGGCCGCACAAGUGAGACGUCUUCAACUGCAAGGAAAGACGGUAACAGGAAGUCAUUUAAUUACCUCCGCCGAGGAGCUUUCAAACUAUUGUAGCUAAGCCAUUUCUAUAAAUAUUUGACCAGGUUGGGCACAGGGCAAUUAAAGCCACUUCACUUCAUUCACAUGCUAUUUAUUUAUGGACAAAUUGUCAUCCAAAUCUACAAAUAAUGUUGAUUUGCUUGUUUGUUGGCAUUAUAAUAAAUUAACAUGAUAUACGAAUGAUGUAUUAUAUAGAAAAAAAGUUUUCCACCAAAACUGUGUAAUGGUUGGGGCCAUGGACGUUCGCAAUACAUUUCACAUUUAAGAACACGGUUAUUGUAUUACUUCACAAAAAAAAAAAAAAAAACAUAUUCUACAUGAAAAAGAAAAUGUAUUUAAAAGAAAGAAAUCACAAAUGAAAAUAUUAGUACAAAAGUGUUUGAAAAGCUGUUUGGAUGGAACAAUUCUAAAUUGCCAACAUUGUAAUAUCGAUUAUUUGUAGUUUUUAAUCGUACAUAAACAAAAAAAAAAAAAGAGUUGAAAUUAAAUAUACUCUAAGUCUGUCAUUAUCUGCUGUUUUUAUCCUUAGUUAAAAAAAUUAAUUGCAUGCCACUUGAUUGUUCAAAAAGUUGUAUAUAACAGUUUCUCAUUAUGUAUUUGUAUUUAAUUUAGUUGAUUUAAAAAAACAAUGUACUCUGUGCUGCUGCAACAUCUUGAUUUCCCCUCUGGGGAUCAUUCAAGGAUUAUUUUAUUUUUAUAAUGAAUUUUCAAAUGAAUUUGUUGAAAUAAAAAUUGCACAAAUAAAUUGAUAAAAAAAAAUCGGAUAUCCAGCGAAACCAAAAGAGUUGUACAAUUCGGUGCACAUCCAAAUCAGGAUUGUUCAGCUUCAUUGGAAUUCUGCUUUGAACGAGUUUAUUAGUCUGCUUCUGGAUUUGCAACAAUCCUAUUUUGGAAGUAACUCCUCCCCCUUUUGCAUGUUUUACACAAUCCACAACUGCGACAUACGAUUAGAGCCACUUUGUGUAAACUAAUCAAGUUAAAAGGCCUCGUUAAAACAAUUUUCGCUAAUGUUGUGUGCUACCGAAGCGAACCUCUCCAGAGACGGAACGGGUCACACGAGGAGCCAGCUGUGUUUUUAGGCACCUGCCCCCCCACCCCCCGUGAACAUAAUUGCAGCCUUUCCAAUGAAGAGCAGCCACUCCGGAAGUUUCGGAAGCCCCCAACAAGUGUUGGAAAUUUACAUAUAAAUUGCCAGGGUGACUCUCUUAACCCUGACUGCGGCUCGGAUAAAAACCAUUUGCCGGACAAUUGGCUGGACCUCGGACACAAGUGUGCCCAUUUGACACGAGCCAUUUAAACAGUUCACUUUUUUUUUUCUCUCUUCUUUACCGUGAUGGCUUUGAGGGGGUCCUCCAUCUGUUCGAUGCAAGUGUUGCUAAAGUUCUGAUCUUUUUCCUUCACUUGAACGUGCCACUUUCGGUCGUGAGCGGACACCAGGCCUCGCCAGGGUUUUAUGUCAAUGCAGAAGAUCCCUCGGCCUUGGAAGGAGGAGGGGAAAAAAUACAUUGAUAAAAUGAAGGUAGUGACGUUUGGAAUUCUAAAAUAUUCCACACUCAACUACCGACAGCAGACAUCUGUGGCAGCACACCUACUGGAAAAUCGUGUGGAAAUUACAGAUGGCGACUCAGUUGUUUUUUUGUUGUUGUUAUUUUGUAGGAUUGUGCAAUGUUAUUUAUUGUGCCGCACACCGAUCAGAAGUGGGAAAAUACCAACAAAUUACAGACUCGCGACUGACCCUUGCGCAAAUAGCCGCAACGGAAAAAAAUGUAACCCAUGCUGUUCUUAGCGGGUAAACAUUUUGCGCCACAUUAACACUGUACUGUAUUUAUUUUCUUUGCAAACAUUAUUGCGCGACGGUCAAGGAAUCAUCAGCUCGGCUUUGCCGCUGUAGCGACAGUAUACAGUGACACAAGGGGAGGAAACGAGUGAGAAAUAAAGGAGUGUGGAUAUUUGCUGUUGAAAAUGAUCGCCCCCAUUCAUUGACUGCACUCGUGCAUUUCAGCAACAGAGACUCUCCACGCUUCGCUUUUAUUUUUUUUGCGCGAUGCGACAUGGCAUUUUUGAUUGGCCGUUACAUCUGCGACGUUGCGACGCCGUUCACCUGCGAUUCCCAUUUCCGACCGCAGCAAAACUCGUGGCCGACGUGACGAUUCUAAUCAAUCAAUCAGGGAAUUUAUUGGUCCAUUCAUGAAAUACAUGUGUCCUGCGGUUGUACCUGGCCUCUCGCACCAAAGUCAGCUUGCAUAGGACUCCAGCUGCGACCAUAAUGAGGAUAAGGGCCACGGAAAAUGGCUGCAUGUGUUUUACAUCUGUACCGGUUCAUUGACGCCCACCUGUGAGUAUCACAAUGUCAAUGUCAUCCUUGACAACUUGACACUGGUCGGGGAUCCGCAGAUUGCAAUAGACGUGCUCCUUCCUCAGCCCGGUGAGUUUCCUGCGGUAGAAAUACACGAGAGAAAGUUGACUUUUGAAACAAACAAACAGUACAAGCCGCUGGUGACAACUGUAUGAUGUCUCUCUACAGAUUUGAGCCAAGACGGCAAGCUGCGGAAGCCGACCAGGUGGGUCCAUUUUAAGCCUCGUACAGCCACUCGGUGAAUGUUUUUGGUCAAACUACUGCCAGGCACGAGUGGUUCCACUUGUUACCUGACAUGCUGAAGGACGUCCGUCAGUGUUUGCUGCACUUUCUGGCCUUUUGAACUCUCUGGAGCCGAGCAGCCGCCGACCUGAAACCGGGUCAACAGGCUUCCGAGCUGAAGCAUCGCAGUGUUUCCCGACCUUUAUUUGAGCCGGAGCACAUACGUUUUGUUAGGAAAAUCUCAUGGCACGUGACCCAAAAAUGUCCCAAAAACUACUAUAUACACACUGAAAUAAUGAUCUUACUUAGUGUAAGACCAAUGCAAUUAGAACACAAAGUUGUAAUACGAGAAAAAUUGAUUUUUCAUUCUGAAACACAAUAACGUGCAUGUGAGGUGCGGGCAUUAUUUUGUCUACUCCGGGUCGCCGUCACGUUUGAGUGUAGCAUCUGUGACUUUGAUUGUGUAUGGCUUUAAGAGGCGGAGCCUGGUGUGGUGAGUGACAUGGGUGUCGUCCUCGUGAAUGAAUGUGAUUCAUACGUUUUUGCGGUCGGGUCUUGAACGUAUCCCGCGAUAAACGGAUUCAUUGUAUUCUGAGGUAUGGGUGGAUACAGAUUAAUUUACCUUCUGCCAUCUCGCGGAAGAGCAUUUAAUUCUUCUGCCGGUCACUAUACGCAGCUGGCAUAGAUAGAUGACCAUUGAGAAUAUAUUAUUUGUAGUAAAUAAAUCAUAAUUUAAGGACCAAUUCAGUGAAAUGGCAUAAUUUACAUGAUGAAAACAGUGGUUGGGAAUCACUGUUCUUAGUAGAGUAUAUAGUCUUUUAUGCUGUGAAAAAUAGGUCAUGCAAGGCGAGAGGAUUUUUCUUUUCAACAUGCCGUCAAAUGCAGACUAACGGAGGUUAUUUCUCGAGUUAGCGAAACAAAACAGUCAUGUCAUUCCGACCCCCUACUUUGAUGACCACACAACAACCAAAACAUACCAACGCGACGUCCUGGCACAUUCGUUUAUUACGUCAUUUUCCCAGGCCAAUACUUCGAUCAAAGUUUGUUUUCACCAAGCGUCGAGUUCUAGUAAGCAGUCAAGAAUCCCGAAAAGCUUGUUUAGCAAUCCUCGGAGCCCCCUCCUUUGUCCCUCCCCCUUCUGCAUAGUUCCUGGACGUAAACAAGCGACCACGUGCGACAUUCGCGGCGUCGCAUUUCGGCGCCCCCCCCAACUCUUCAGCGUCGUGACGUCACAGCGAAGCGUCACUACGUUGUUGUUACGUUGUUGACUAGAACGCCCCAAUUUACGAAGGCCACGUCUUAAAGUAAACCGCUGAAAAAAUAUAUAAUUUCAUAAUGAUGAUAAUAACAAUCACGUGAGGCGUCACAGCUGAAAAAAAAUCACACACAUACACUUUGUGUACAAUAUACAUGUAUAUAAAUAGUUUAGUUGAAUAGUUUAAUUCAGCCUUCACAAUCAUACUAAUGGCCGAAGAGUUUUUAAUUUAAUAGUAUUCUCAUCAUUGUGCUUUCAUUCAUGGUUUUGAGUGGUGUUUGUAAUAUUUUUUUGUAUUCGUUUUUGUCAUUUCACUACACUCAUAUCUUUCAUAUUAAUAUAGUUCAAAACUUGGACUGUUUUUGAAGGAUGAUUAGUACAUUUCUCCCCCCCAUUUUUCCCCCUACAUUAUUUAUACAGGGUCAUAAUAUCAGAA